UUUAACAACCGUAUUCUAUUUAUUCUCAAAAGCAAGCACCCAUCUGCCAUAUUUGAAGUCUCAUAAUAUUCCAUGUACCCCUCAGAUAAGCUGUUCUUUAGACAGACUCCUUCUUCUGCCCUUCCCUUGUCAAAUUGCAUUUGCCCAUGACCUGUGAACACAGCUCCCACUGCCCUCAGAGACACACACACACGUAACUAAACCAUCAGUCCUGACGCUCUUGGAGAGAGCAAUCUUUUCUGUGGGGUGUAGCUGCAAUAACAUACACUCACUGUUCACAUUAGCACUAAAUAAAUAAAUAACACAGAAUUCUUUCAGUGCUGUGCAAGGUUUGAAAUACGUGUGCCAUAAACAUGGCAGGAAAUGAGAAGGGUUUUGGUUUGUGCUCUGAAGACGACUCUUCACACAUAUUAAAAAUACAUCAUUAUUCUUAAUGCAUUUUCAGUGUGAAGCGACCUGCCUCUGAGAAUCCUGGAGGAUUGUGUGCCCGAGAGCCGGCCCACAGCCUCUCCUGCCCAGCCGAGGAUGGAGAUUCUCCAUUUGCUGAAUGGGAACUGAAGCACAUAAGGACACUUGGGAGCUCUCCGUGUGCGUUUAGGGCAAGGUUUUCAGGGGAGCUCAGCUUCGAGGAGCAGAAUAGCAGUUCUUUGCUAGGGAUCGUUUAAACAUCUGGCCCUGGGGGCCUCACACACCGCCCAGUGAGGUCCAGCAGGGCUUACAACCAGCUAGACAUGGGCAGAAUAGCAAAGCUGGGAACAGCACAUCAAUGGCUCUCUUCCAAACGGGGACCAGCCUCUCGCUCUGGGUGGUUCUGUGUAACCCGCGCAGCUCCAGCCUCCUCGAGAGGCAAGAGCCACAGAAGGAACCAGCGGGUUCCAAACCCCACACGCGGACGCAGCCGCGGUUUUCACUCGCGGUUUCUCAGCGCGGCGGCCGGACGCGUGUGACGGUGCCGCGGGGGAAGGAGAAACCGCAGUGCCGGGCACGGGAGAAAAAUCACGGAUCUCUUCUCGCUUCCCGUUCGCACGCCCCAGAACGGGAAUCACCAGCUCCCCCUCACCCUCCCCACCCCGCUGCCCCCGGCCAGAAGCGCUGCCCGGUGCCGCUCCCGGGCUGGGGCUCCGCCGGCGGCGGGGCGGGGGUAACGGGGGGGCUGCGGCGCCCUCACGGCUGCCCCCCACUAACGGCCGCGCUUGGAGGGGCCGGGACAGGGAGAGCCCAGGGGGGUCCGGAUGGGAGCCGGGGUGAGGGGGGGGUGCCAGUGGUCCCGUGUCCCUGCCGCGGCAGCCGCCGUUACCUGCAGGCCCGGGCGGGGGGGCGCGGUGCACGCGCAGCCGCCGCCUGCGCUCCAUUCAUAAAAAAAAAAAAAAAGAAAAAAAACAGAAAGAAAAAAAAGGGGGAAAAAAAGGAGGAAGAAGGGAAAAAAAAAAAA
rnacentral:lncRNA from 1 species